GUCGUGUUCGUCUAGGCGGCCGAGGACACCGGGCUUUCAUUCCGGGAACGCGGGUUCGAAUCCCGCACGCGACACCA
rnacentral:tRNA from 1 species